GACGAACGCUGGCGGCGUGCUUAACACAUGCAAGUCGAACGGAAAGGCCCUGCUUUUGUGGGGUGCUCGAGUGGCGAACGGGUGAGUAACACGUGAGUAACCUGCCCUUGACUUUGGGAUAACUUCAGGAAACUGGGGCUAAUACCGGAUAGGAGCUCGUGCUGCAUGGUGGGGGGUGGAAAGUUUCGGCGGUUGGGGAUGGACUCGCGGCUUAUCAGCUUGUUGGUGGGGUAGUGGCUUACCAAGGCUUUGACGGGUAGCCGGCCUGAGAGGGUGACCGGCCACAUUGGGACUGAGCUACGGCCCAGACUCCUACGGGAGGCAGCAGUGGGGAAUAUUGCACAAUGGGCGGAAGCCUGAUGCAGCAGCGCCGCGUGCGGGAUGACGGCCUUCGGGUUGUAAACCGCUUUCGCCUGUGACGAAGCGUGAGUGACGGUAAUGGGUAAAGAAGCACCGGCUAACUACGUG
rnacentral:rRNA from 1 species